GCAUGGCUCAGUGGCAGAGCAGCUGCUUUGCAUGCAGAAAGUUCCAGGUUCAAUCCCUGUCAUCUGCA
rnacentral:tRNA from 1 species